rnacentral:misc_RNA from 1 species
AAAAAAACACAAAGGCAUAUCCAAUAGACCAAUAGUACAUAUCCAAUCAUCAAGUUGCUGAAUUUAUAUUUUCUCCAAGUCAGCAUCUCCUAAAUCUACUGAAUUCCCUAUUCUGAAUUUAUUUGCUGGAAUUGCCUCAAGGUCCUCAAAAGAGAAUCUGCUAGUAUUAAAUCUCUAGUAGCAAAGGAUGGCCAGAUCUGAAAAAACUUUUAUGUAAUAUGAUUCAAGUUUUUUAAAUGGUUGAGGAAAAAAUAUUUGUGAGAUUAUACCUUAUCUACGCUUAUAUAAAUUUUUGCAUUUAAUGGAUAGCUUUAAAAAUUUUUUUCCCAUUCACCAAAUUGUUAACUUUCAAGGAAACUCUAACAAAAAUAAUUUUUGAAAAAACAUAUUUAAGAUGUUGGCAAAACUCUCCAUAUAUAUUCUAACUAAACAUGAUUGCAUAUUAUACAGGGAAAUAACUAGCACAACAACUUAUUCUAUCUAUUUAUAUGGCAGCUAAUGGGGUAGAUGCCCACAUCAUAUGUUGAACACAACCAUCCAUCAUUGUAUCCAUAGCAUACAGAGCAUAUUACCCCUCAUUGCAAACUAGCCAUUAGAAACGGGGUGUCAAGUACUCAAUACCAAGGCCAGCACAUGGCUUAGGGGCAUGCAAAUGCAAUGGCCAAGGCACAGAGGCAGGGCUGCCACAUGUCGCCAUGCCUAUUUCCAUGCUCAAGGCCAGGACAUGGGGGUAUUGGAAGCUGCGGUAGUUAACUCCCCAAAGGAUAUGAAAUACACCAAUACCACUCUGUGGUAAAAUAACAUAUAAAAUUAGAAGAUAGAAAAUCAGACUUUUAUUUAAGGCUAUUUUCCCAUACUGAAUUUACAAACACAAUCUUGAAUAAAUCCUAAGUAAGAAGGAAUAGAAAAUCUUA